AGGAUCUCAAAGACUCCACCACCAAACAAUGAAGCAAUCACUGUAGCCUUGUGCCCCCAGCCCAGAGCCUCACAUUCAGAGAAGUAAGUAUUAAUACCUUCAAGGAAGAACCAAAACACCCUUCUUUCUGUAAGCCCCAUGAGAAGCUCAUCCAGGCUGGUCCUGGGCAAAGCUGGAAGGGAGAGAACCUAAAGAUCUGGCCCAUCUGUCCUUCACUGCCGGCUUCCCUGCAGUCCUUUUCCAGAAACCACACCCCACAUUCUCAGCCUAUCAACAGCGUCCUGGUGACCAGGUACAUUCUCAUUCUAUCAUGAGAUUGCUGAAAACUAAAGAAGGCAUCAAGACCCCCACAUGAAUUUCUACUGAUACAAUUUCAGACCUGUGCAGGAAAAUAUUUAAGACAGAAAACGCUUUCUCGAGAGGGUGCCUUCAAAGUUCCCGGAGCUCUUGUCCCUCAGCUGACUCUCACAAACCUGAAACCAAGUGACCCGGCAGCUGCGGGCUCCUCCAUUGACUCAGGCUUCAUCAGAGAGCACCAUAAGUGCCGUAUCUCCUGCUUCAGACCACCUGAGGACCAUUCUACCUGUAUUAUUCAUCUGCUAGGGCUGCCAUAACAGAAUAUCACAAUCCUAGCACAUAAAAUAUGGAAGAGGUCCUCCACAAUGGAGAAAACUAUUGGGGAUAUGCCUUCUGGAGUUUGAUCAAGGAAGAUGGACACAAACAGAAAAGAAAAACAGUCCAGAGGAAGCUGAAGGGUCUCCUACAUUGCACCAGAUGCUGCAGAUGGGGAGGACCAUUCCACUGGAUGCAUUCGGGACUGUAAACAGCAGACUGUGAGUGCGGCAGGCAGGGAUCACCCAGGCUUGACAACUCAACAGAGUUGGCUCCACAUUUGCCUUCCACUGUGAUUGUAAGCUUCCUGAGGACUCACUAGAGGCUGAGCAGAUGCUGGCACCAAACUUCCUGUACAGCCUGCAGAACUGUGAGCCAAUUAAACUUCUUUACUUCUUUAAAAACUGGC
rnacentral:lncRNA from 1 species